rnacentral:rRNA from 1 species
GGACGAACGCUGGCGGCGUGCUUAAUACAUGCAAGUCGAACGGUCCUUUCUAUGGAAGCUUGCUUCCACUGAGAAGAUAGUGGCGAACGGGUGAGUAACACGUGGGUAACCUGCCCAUAAGAGGGGGGAUAACAUCCGGAAACGGGUGCUAAUACCGCAUAGUUUUCUUGAUCGCAUGAUUGAGAAAGGAAAGACGGCCUUUGUGCUGUCGCUUAUGGAUGGACCCGCGGCGUAUUAGUUAGUUGGUGAGGUAACGGCUCACCAAGACGAUGAUACGUAGCCGACCUGAGAGGGUGAUCGGCCACAUUGGGACUGAGACACGGCCCAAACUCCUACGGGAGGCAGCAGUAGGGAAUCUUCCGCAAUGGACGAAAGUCUGACGGAGCAACGCCGCGUGAGUGAAGAAAGGUUUUCGGAUCGUAAAACUCUGUUGUCAGAGAAGAACAAGUUGGAGAGUAACUGCUCCAGCCUUGACGGUAUCUGACCUGAAAGCCACGGCUAACUACGUGCCAGCAGCGGC